AUGGAUCGCUGCCGGAAGCGCCCCGACUCCGACCCCGGCGGCUCCGGCGAGGCCGAGCCUCCCGCCGAUAAGCGCCCCUGCACCGCCGAGCCCUCCACCUCCGCCGCCGCCGCCGUCUCCGCGCCGGGGCUGCCGGAGCAGGCCGCCUCCGACAUGGACACCUCGUCGUCCGGCCACGCCGCCGAGGCCGACGCCGAUGCCGAUGUGGACGGCGACGAUGGGGACGGGGACGGGGACGGGGAUGGCGGGUCGUCGUGUGAGUCGGAUGGGGACGGGGGGCCCGGGAGCGGCAAGUUCCGCCGGAUGGUGGCGGCCGUCGCCUCGGAGGGCGCCGGGGGAGGCGCGCUGCUCGCGUCGCUCACGGAGCUCUGCGAGGCGCUCUCCUUCUGCACCGAGGACGCCGGGGGCUACUUCCCCGUCGAGUCCGCCGCGCGGGCGCUCGUGCGGCUGGCCGGCGCCGACGUCGCCAGCCCCGACGAGCUGCUGCUCGCCGUGCGCGCCAUCACCUAUCUCUGCGACGCCAUGCCGCGCGCCGCCGACGCCGUCGUCCGCCAUGGCCUGCUCCCCGUGCUCUGCUCCCGCCUCCUCGCAAUCGAGUACCUUGAUGUGGCCGAGCAGUGCUUGCAGGCGUUCGAGAAGAUAUCGCUGCGGCAGCCGGCGCAGUGCUUGCAGGCAGGCAUGAUCACCGCCGUGCUCGCAUACAUUGACUUCUUCUCUGCAAGUAUUCAGAGGGUUGCUGUCUCAGCUGUUGCAAAUGCCUGCAAGAAGGUCCCCGCAGAUUGCUCCCAGUUUGUGAUGGAUUCGAUCCCAAUGCUGUGUAAUCUACUGCAGUCUGAGGACAAGAUGGUUGUUGAAAAGGUUGCAACUUGCCUGAUAAGCAUUGUAGACUCUUUUAGUGGUUCAGUGGAGCUUCUUGACCAGCUCUGCCACCAGGGCCUGGUAGAGAAGGUCCUUCCUUUGAUCAACGCCAGCGGACUCACUUCCCUUAAUCCAUCAACUUGCAGUAACUUGAUCGGGCUUCUUGCUAAGCUAGCCUGUACUUCACUUGUGGCAGUGAAGUCUCUCUUUGAGUUGAAUGUUGGUAGCACCAUAAGGGGGAUUUUGGUCAGUUCAGAUCUCUCCCAUGGGAUGCCAUACCUGCCUUCGGAAAACCAAAAUAACCAGGUUAAUGAAGCUCUGAAAUUAGCAAUCCAGCUUAUUCCUUCUGCGGCAAGAGAUGUUGAAGACACCUAUAUAGUACUUGCUAAAGAAAAAAUAAUUGUCGAUGAACCAGGGUUCUUGUGUCAGUUCUCUACGGAUAUCCUUCCUAUCUUGAUCAAGGCAGUCAACUCUGGUGCAAAUUCGUACAUUUGCUAUGGCUGUUCUUCAAUUGUAAAUAACAUCUGUUACUUCAGUAAACCUGAAAUGCUUCAAGAGUUGCUCAAGGAAACAAACAUAUCAAGCUUCUUGGCUGGUUUAUUGUCCCGGAAGGAUCAUCAUGUGCUAAUCUCAUCACUGAAGAUUAUCGAGAUUCUCAUGCAAAAGCUUCCGGAUGCUUACCUUGGAUCUUUUAUCAAAGAAGGUGUUGUCAAUGCAGUAGAGGCUCUUCUUAUGCAAGAGGAUUGCUCAAAGUCCAGCCCCCCUCUCUCUGAUGACACUCAACAGUCAGAAAAUCAACCUGUUAUAAGAAAUAAACCUACAUGUUUCUGCUAUGCAUUUGAUUCCCGCCAAUCUGAAUCUGCUGAAACAAGGGCUUGUAGGAUUGGGCAGGGGAACCUUUUUAAUUUCGCAAGACAUGUGAAGACAACUUACUUUACAGCUGAAGCAGUGAAUUCAGAGAUGGGGUUAACAGAGAUUUUGCAGAAGCUCAAAACUUGCUGUGCAGUUCUAAAUGACUCUGCCGACAAGUCAUUCAACCAAGACAGUCUUCAAAAUGAAGAACACCUGUCUACCAUUUUGAGCGAGGUGAUGAUGGAGCUUCACGGAGGAGAAACAAUGACGACGUUUGAAUUCCUUGAGAGUGGACUGGUCAAAUCUUUGUUAAAUUACCUGUCUAACGGCAAAUACCUUCAGGUGGACGACAAUCUUAAAGAUUACAAUGCUGAACAUUUUUGUGCUGUGCUGAAAAGAUUUCAGUCAUUUGCCCGGAUUUGUUUCUCAAGAAUGGAGCAAGGUUGGGGUGAUAUGCUCUUGACACUACUUGUAAGGAAACUGCAGAAUGCUCUUACUUCUCUUGACAACUUCCCAGUGAUAAUGAGCCACAAUUUCAAGCCAAGGAACAAUAUUUCUGAUAUCCCUAUUCGCCACUCAACAAUUAGUCCAUGUAUCCGAGUACGUUUCAAGAAGGAUGAAGAUGAAACAAACUUAUCAAGCUAUGAUAAUUCUGUGAAUUUGGAAAUCUCUUCUUCCUUGCAUUCUAUCGAACAAUUUCUGUGGCCCAAAGUCAGUACAUGCACAAGUGAUCAGAAUACUGAAUCACCACCUAGUAGUGUUGCUUUUGAGAGCAAAUGUGCUGAAGAUGACCCUCAGGAAAGAGAUUCCAGCCCAGAAUCUUCUCCUUCAUCAGAGGGUAUCAUCAGGGAAAAUCAAAAUUCUUAUGUAGAACCAUGCUCGAAGAAAGGGUCGCCAUCUUCUGCUGGAGGUCAACCAGAACGAAACAAGUCGACCGGGACUGAUUGUGCUGUACAGCCAAAACUGGUAUUUAGCCUGAAAGGAAAAGAGCUUGACCGAUCUGUUACUCUAUAUCAAUCAAUCCUGCAAGAUCAGAUCAAUGCGGGAGCUGAUGUAAUUUUGGACACCCAGUUUUGGCGCAGUGUGCAUGACAUAACAUUUCGAACAGCUGCAAAUCCAGAAAAAGAUGAUUCUCCUGAGAACCUGUCUAAUGCAGCGAUAUCAACAAAUGACAGUAAAACUGGUUUAAUGUGGCAAGCACUCCCUUUCUUCAGCAGCUUGUUGCUUGGCAAGAUCCCUUGCAAACUUGAUAGAUCAAAUUCAUUGUAUGACAUAUUGUUUAUGCUGAAAGUUUUAGAAGGAUUAAACCGAUACUCGUUUCACCUCGUGUCUAAUGAGAGAAACCAUGCUUUUGCUCAAGGGAAGUUAACUGACCUUGAUGAUCUGAAGCCUUCUGUUUCUUCAGUUCCACUUCAGGAGUUUGUUAGUGCUAAAUUGACAGAUAAACUGGAGCAACAGAUGCAUGAUCCCUUGGUUUUAAGGUCUCGCUGUCUGCCUUUAUGGUGCACUGAACUGAUGUCUGCGUGCCCUUUCUUAUUUUCCUUUGAGGCAAGAUGGAAGUAUUUCCAACUGACAGCAUUUGGUUCUUCAUCAAUGCAACGUGGUCAUAUGAUAGAUACAAGUGGUAGCAAUAUAUCAACAGAAAGAGGUUCACCCAUUUCACGGAAAAAGUUCAAAGUUGAUCGUGAUGAUAUACUGGCUUCAGCUGCGAAAAUGAUGCAUUCCUAUGCUAAGAGUAGUGCACUGCUUGAAGUAGAAUAUGAAGAAGAAGUAGGCACAGGUUUAGGUCCUACAAUGGAGUUCUAUACGUUGAUAAGUCAUGAGUUUCAGAAGUCUGGUUUAGGCAUGUGGAGGGGUGAGCUUUCUUGUGAAGCUGGCACCAACAAUGCUCACAUUGGUUCCCGGACUGUGGUCGCGCCUAAUGGACUGUUUCCUCGACCGUGGUCUGCUUCUGUAGAUUGUGCUUCCUUCUCGGAAAUAAAUAAAAGGUUUCACCUCCUUGGUCAGGUUCUCGCAAAGGCAAUUAAGGAUGGCAGAAUUCUUGACAUUCCAUUUUCCAAAGCAUUUUACAAGCUUAUCCUAGGACAGGAGCUUAAUAUAUAUGAUAUCAAUUCAUUUGAUCCUGAACUCGCAAUGACCCUUAUGGAGUUUAAAGCGCUUACUUGUCAAAGGAAAUAUUUAGAAUCAUGUUCGACAAAGGAAUGCCAGAGCACAUCUGAUUUGUCUUAUCGUGGUUGUAAAAUUGAGGAUCUUGUUAUUGACUUUGCUGUCCCAGGGUAUCCAGAAUAUGUGCUUUCUUCAGAGGGUACUUCAGACAAUGUAACUGGUGAGAAUUUGGAAGAAUAUGUUUCUUUUGUUGUCGAGGCAACGGUUAAAAGUGGAAUCACAAGACAGCUGGAGGCUUUUGAGUCAGGAUUCAGUCAGGUAUUUCCACUAAGCACACUUCGGGCAUUCUCAGAGGAUGAGCUGGAGAGAUUACUCUGCGGAGAACAAGAUAACUGGGAUUUUGUGAAACUUGUGGAUCACAUAAAAUUUGAUCAUGGCUACACCUCCAGCAGUCCUGCAGUCCUUAAUUUGUUAGAGAUCAUACAAGAGUUUGGAUGCCAUGAACGCAGAGCUUUCUUGCAAUUUAUAACGGGUUCACCUCGGCUCCCUCCAGGCGGUCUGGCUGCACUGAAUCCAAAUUUGACAGUUGUCAGGAAGCAUAGCAACAACGAUGCUGAUGAUGAUCUGCCAAGUGUGAUGACUUGCGCUAACUAUCUUAAGUUACCUGCCUACUGCUCUAAGGAAAGGAUGAGGGAGAAGCUACUCUACGCGAUUACUGAGGGGCAGGGGUCCUUCCACCUGUCCUGA
rnacentral:rRNA from 1 species